ensembl:snRNA U2 U2 spliceosomal RNA
AUCAUUUCUCAGCCUUUUGGCUAAGAUCAAGUGUAGUAUCUAUUGUUGUGAGUAUAAUAUCUGAUGCGUCCUCUAUCUGAGGACAAUAUAUUAAAUGGGUUUUUGGAGCAGGGAGUUGGAAUAGGAGCUUGCUCCAUCCACUCCAUGCAUUGCAGUACUUCCAGGAACAGUACACCCCCU